ACUUCUUCAGUACUAAAAGAAGUUUACAUUCUUGACACAAUUUCAGUGAUAUUUCUACUCUAUUACCAGCCAAUUAGAUCAUGAUCAAUUUUUAAUUUAACUUUGAGUAACUUCAAACGUGUUCUUAUUAAAUGAUAAAUAUUCUUCCACAUAUGUUAGUAAAAUCAGAAAUCUAUCAAUAUUUUCUUUGUGUUUAGAGUUAAAGAUGAAAUUCAUAUAUAUAUAUUGCAGGAUACAAAAUAUUAAAGCAAACGAAUAUCUAGUCGUACCAGGAAGUUCUCUUUUGAAGAUUCAGUUUUACGAGCUAUAAGAAGCAAGUCGAGAGAAGGCCUAGUGGAGCGAACUAAAAGGUUUGGGAGUUGAUGUUGGCUCGUCCGGGGGCGGCAAGUUCAAGGUUACCACGUCCAGGUCACGUCCGGGCAUGCUAACCCAAAUACGAUUACGGUCUGAGUACAGUGGAGAGUCGAGACAACAAACUCGAGAUCCAGUUGGAGUUUGCUAGGCCAAUGGAACAAGGAUCUAGUCCAAUUCCCCUUUCAGGAUUACACUCCUGAGCGGGUCUGCGGCUUCCUCGUUCUUCCGGGAUGUUUGAAAGAUAUCGUGUAUCGUGUCGCUGUCGAUGCUAUUAGUUCUGCGAAAACCUUUAAUCGCGUGGGGAAAACUGGACUGUUUUCGUAAUCCGACGAAACGUUUGUACGUUGUGACCCGACCUUCUUAACUUCGACGUUGCUUCUUUUUAUUUUCAGAUAUCUUAUUAAAAGAUAGCUCCUCUCUUCUUUUUUCUUCAUUUCGUCCAUUUUUUUUAAAGGCCUGUUUGUUUUUCGCUCACGUUGUUUUUCACAAGUAAUCCGAUGUUCUUGGACGCCUGUGUCAAUUUAUCGCGCGCAUUUCAGAUAUCUUCCCGAUUACGAAAUUAACAGCGAAAUUACGAGCCGAUUAAAAUUCUGGCACCGCUUUUUAAACGCGCUCUCGCGGUUGAUUACGAUUCAUGCAGUUGCAUCAUACCUGUGCAUCAUAGCUGUAGACUGUUUCAUGUCGAUUACCUUGAACAAAUAGAGUCCCUGUAUAUUAUGGAUACAAUUUCAGUCUUUUAGCUUGCUAAAUUAAUAAAUUAAUAAAUUAAUAAAAUCAUCUAUUGUGAUACGUUGUUAUUAUUAAUCAUCACGAUCGAUGAGAAGUAUUGAACGUAUAUUCAUUAGCUGUUUAGAUUCGAGUUAAAUUUUACUUAUAAACAAAUAGAAUCUUUUAUUGUGUAAAUCCGAAUUUCUUGUGACAUUCGAUCUUCUGAUUUUUGUAGUUGGUAUUUGGACCGUUUUAUCAAUUUCUAUCUUUUUUAUGACUAUAUGCCGUAAUAUAAAAUUUGUAUAUUUUGCACCUAUCCAUCUGUGAUGUAUACAAAAGGAUUGCAAUGCGCCGCAAGUUA